rnacentral:tRNA from 1 species
CCCAGGACUGGGCCACCUCGGGGCGGCGGGCGGUGAUGGCGUCGAGGAUGGCCAGGUGUUGUUCGCGGGUGCGUUCGACGGCGCGGUCCUGGGU